rnacentral:rRNA from 1 species
CGCUGGCGGCGUGCCUAACACAUGCAAGUCGAACGGACUCGAGGAGCUUGCUCCUCGAGUUAGUGGCGAACGGGUGAGUAACGCGUGAGCAACCUGCCUUUCAGAGGGGGACAACGGUUGGAAACGACCGCUAAUACCGCAUGAUGCAUUUUUGGUCGCAUGAUCGGGAUGCCAAAGAUUUAUCGCUGAAAGAUGGGCUCGCGUCUGAUUAGAUAGUUGGUGGGGUAACGGCCUACCAAGUCGACGAUCAGUAGCCGGACUGAGAGGUUGAACGGCCACAUUGGGACUGAGAUACGGCCCAGACUCCUACGGGAGGCAGCAGUGGGGAAUAUUGGGCCAAUGGGGGAAACCCUGACCCAGCAACGCCGCGUGAAGGAAGAAGGCUUUCGGGUUGUAAACUUCUUUUACCAGGGACGAAGGACGUGACGGUACCUGGAGAAAAAGCCACGGCUAACUACGUGCCAGCCGCCGC